CUCCAUUUCAACAUUAGAGAUAUUCACAUGGUUUUGGAAGAUGACAGAGAGGUCACCCAGGUUCAUCCUGCUAGAGUCUCUAGAGAAUGAAUUGAAGAGAAUUUCAGAGCAGCUGUCCUAUGAGCUUCUAUUUGCAGCAGACGGUGAUUAGCACAGAGACUCAAAAGUGGCCAAGGUGCAUAGAGUAAAGGACCAAAGAAUGAUCAGCCAUAAAUGGAACAACUCCUUUUUCCAAGGCUCAGCAACCAUGGUGGAAAAGGGCAAUAGAAAGAGUAUAAAAGCAUGAAGUGGUGGAUGACUACAGUGUCUUCUGGACAGAGAAGGACUAUUGUACAUGGUACAGCCCAAGGAGAGAGGAGUCUGAUACUACAGGCUUUGUAUCCCAGAUCACAACUCCAGCUGCUUUAUCAAAAGCCAGACUUGUCCUAGGGACUUCAGGCUGCUCUUCAGAGGAAACAGCUGGCUUGGAUUAAAAGAAGUGGAUUUUAAAAGGAACUCAAUAGAAAUGUUUCUAAACACUUCCAAGACUCAGCAAGGAGAGGCUAGCCAAUGUGACUGAAAUGAGACCCCAUAGGCAGGCAGAUCUCUCAUGGUAAAUGCUAACAUGUCAUUCAAUUUCGAGCUUCAAAACUUGGCAGGCUCCAUGAAGGGACUCUGAGCAGGAAAUACAGCAGCAAGCUAAAUCAGAACCAAGGACAGCGUCAAUGGUGCCAUGUGAGGUUUUACUGCUCUGUGGAAUUACUUCCUCAGGACUAACUCUGCCACCUCUCUGCAGACCGUGCAUGGUCCACAAACAGAAGUGUUCAUCACAUGUAGCAAUCCACUUCAGAGCCUUCAGAUCUCAACAUACAUACCAAGUAAUUAUUUAUCUCAUACAUUUUACAGACAUAUCACAUGUAUACCACUAAUCAUGAAGCUCUUGAUUUGUUACUCUCAAGCCUGAAAAUGUCUCCGAAUCACUUGGAGUGUGAAUUAAAAUUGCAUUUCUUGGCCACUCCCAUACAAUUUGUGACCCAAAUGAUGGUCAGUGAGGUCUGAGUAUUUGUCUUUCUAGUUAUGCACUGAAGUUUUUGACUCAGAAGGCUUCCUCAGAGAACACUGACUUCCACUGUAAUGAUGGUAGCUUGCCUUAAGACUCGUUUCCUAAUUGAAGAAUUUGACUCAUUCAUCAAGUAGAUCUUUGUUCAAAGGUAAAACUCUUACUGUUUUAGUGACUUUGUGAUAUGUCUAUAGAAAUUCAAUAAGCUUUACAAUACCAGUGUCUUUUUGUAAUAUGUUUUUUAUUAAGAGAUUUUCUAUUCAUUUUACAUACCAACCAUGGAUUCCCUUAUCCUCCCUCCUCCCAUCCCCCAGCCCUC